UUGGAUCGUGUGUGUUUGCCAAGACUCCC
rnacentral:piRNA from 1 species